AUUGAACGCUGGCGGCAGGCUUAACACAUGCAAGUCGAGCGGGGUGAUGGUGCUUGCACUAUCACUUAGCGGCGGACGGGUGAGUAAUGCUUAGGAAUCUGCCUAUUAGUGGGGGACAACAUCUCGAAAGGGAUGCUAAUACCGCAUACGUCCUACGAGAGAAAGCAGGGGAUCACUUGUGACCUUGCGCUAAUAGAUGAGCCUAAGUCGGAUUAGGUAGUUGGUGGGGUAAAGGCCUACCAAGGCGGCGAUCUGUAGCGGGUCUGAGAGGAUGAUCCGCCACACUGGGACUGAGACACGGCCCAGACUCCUACGGGAGGCAGCAGUGGGGAAUAUUGGACAAUGGGGGGAACCCUGAUCCAGCCAUGCCGCGUGUGUGAAGAAGGCCUUAUGGUUGUAAAGCACUUUAAGCGAGGAGGAGGCUCUUUUGGUUAAUACCCAAGAUGAGUGGACGUUACUCGCAGAAUAAGCACCGGCUAACUCUGUGCCAGCCGCCGCCGUAA
rnacentral:rRNA from 1 species